CUCGAAAGCCCUAAUAGCCGACGCCAGUUCCUGUUCGGCCCCAAAUCGGGCUAUCUGAUUCUCUCGAUCUACAAACUCGUUGAAGUCGAGAUUUUGGCUGAUGAAUUGACCCUGCAAGAAGGUCGAUUUGCUAUAUUUUCAAGAGCAUUGAAGCUCAAACAAAGGAAUAAAUCGAAUUUCCCCCUUUUCUCAUACAUACGGCUACGAAGCUAGAAAAAUCAGUUUUUUUCGAUUGAUAGAAUCUCUUCUCGAGCUUGAUAGAGAGAAGGCUGAAAUUUCUACCCUUAUCUGUUGUUUCAUUCACAAUAAAAGAUGGUGCAAUACAACUUCAAAAAGAUUACGGUUGUGCCCUCAGGCAAGGACUUCAUUGACAUUAUCCUGUCCCGCACGCAGCGACAGACUCCGACUGUAGUUCACAAGGGCUAUGCAAUAUCUCGUCUCCGUCAGUUUUACAUGCGAAAGGUGAAAUACACACAACAGAAUUUCCAUGAGAAGCUGUCCACGAUCAUCGAUGAAUUCCCCCGGUUGGAUGAUGUCCACCCGUUUUAUGGUGAUCUCCUCCACGUUCUCUAUAACAAGGACCAUUACAAGCUCGCUCUGGGUCAGAUCAACACAGCAAGAAACCUCAUAGGAAAGAUUGCGAAAGACUAUGUGAGGCUGUUGAAAUAUGGGGAUUCUCUUUAUCGCUGCAAGUCUUUAAAAGUUGCUGCACUUGGUCGUAUGUGCACGGUUAUAAAGCGUGUUGGGCCUAGUUUGGCUUACUUGGAGCAGAUUCGACAACACAUGGCUAGGCUUCCCUCAAUCGACCCGAACACACGAACAAUCUUGAUUUGUGGGUAUCCGAAUGUGGGCAAGAGCUCUUUUAUCAACAAGAUUACUAGGGCUGAUGUGGACGUCCAGCCAUAUGCCUUCACCACGAAGUCCCUCUUUGUUGGCCACACUGAUUAUAAGUAUCUGAGGUACCAAGUGAUAGACACACCGGGGAUUUUGGAUCGACCAUUCGAGGAUAGGAAUAUAAUAGAGAUGUGCAGUAUUACAGCUUUGGCGCAUUUGAGAGCGGCUGUAUUGUUUUUCUUGGAUGUCUCAGGUUCAUGCGGGUACAGCAUCGCCCAACAGGCGGCCCUCUUCCAUAGCAUCAAGUCGUUGUUUAUGAACAAACCAUUGAUCAUCGUCUGCAACAAGAUUGAUUUGCAGCCAUUGGAUGGGCUUCCAGAGGAAGACAUAAAGUUGGUUUCGGAGAUGAAAGCCGAAGCUGCAAAGACAGUAAUAGGUCUGGGUGGUGAACCGAAUGAUGAUGGUGUCCUUUUGACCAUGAGUACUUUGACCGAGGAUGGAGUGAUUGCGGUGAAGAAUGCGGCCUGCGAGAGGCUGUUGAACCAAAGGGUAGAGUUGAAGAUGAAAUCCAAGAAGAUCAAUGAUUGUUUGAAUCGGUUUCAUGUGGCAAUGCCGAAGCCUCGUGAUGGGAAAGAACGACCUCCUUGUAUACCUCAGGCAGUUCUGGAAGCCAGAGCGAGGAAGAAUGAGGAGAAGGAGAAGAGGAAGCUCGAGAAAGAUUUGGAAGAUGAGAAUGGAGGAGCUGGUGUAUACUCUGCUAGUCUGAGGAAGCAUUAUAUCUUGGAAGAUGAAGAGUGGAAGGAAGAUUUGAUGCCGGAAAUUCUAGAUGGUCACAAUGUCUACGAUUUUGUUGAUGCAGAUAUCUUGCAGAGACUUGAAGAGUUGGAGAGAGAGGAGGGUCUUCGGCUUGAAGGGGAGGCUGAAGAGGAUGAUUUGGAGAUGGAGGGUAAGGAAUUGACUCCCGAGGAGCAGAAAGCAUUGGCUGAGAUUCGGAAAAAGAAAAGCUUGCUCAUUCAAGCGCAUAGAAUCAAGAAGAGCACCGCAGAAAGCCGCCCCACGGUACCGAGGAAGUUUGACAAAGAUAAGACAUUCACAUCUGAGAGAAUGGGGAGGCAGCUGUCGUCGUUGGGUUUGGAUCCCACUGCAGCUAUCAAUAGGGCCCGUGGUAGGUCUGUUUCAAGAGGUCGGAAGAGGGAGAGAUCACUGGCAAGGGGUGAUGAUGCGAUGGAUAUGGAUAUUGAUCAACCCAACAAGAAGCUAAGGGCACGUUCACGGUCACUGUCAAGGUCAAGGUCAAGGUCACAAUCACGACCGCCUAGUGAAGUCAUUCCAGGAGAGGGCUUCAGGGACUCAGCCCAAAAGGUCAAGGCGCUGAAGAUUGCGAAGAAAUCGGUCAAGGCAAGAAACAAGGCUGCUCGCCGUGGAGAGGCAGAUAGAGUUAUUCCCAACCUGAAACCGAAGCAUUUGUUCUCUGGAAAGCGCUCGAUUGGAAAAACUGAUAGACGUUAAGAGCUACAAGAUACUUAUGACCUUUACAAGUAACCAACAAAGGACUGUUUUUGUUAUUUUUGCAUUCUAUAGGUUGAGGGUUUUGAUGUGUGGUUGGGAUUCUGGCUACUUCAGGACUUCAGCAAGGUGGGUGUUGGAAGAAUUGCAGUAGUCAGUCUGCCAGUGGAUGUUGAAUUUAUUUGCCUUUUUGUCUAUCAAUUUUGUAGCUGAGGAAACACCAUAAAGUUAUGUUUAGUGAUACAACUAUUGUGUUUUAAUUGUGAGUACUGAUGAAAAUGUUUUUGUUUUGGGAGUUAUU